rnacentral:rRNA from 1 species
GACGAACGCUGGCGGCGUGCCUAAUACAUGCAAGUCGAGCGGAUUGAUGGGAGCUUGCUCCCUGAUAUCAGCGGCGGACGGGUGAGUAACACGUGGGCAACCUGCCUAUCAGACUGGGAUAACUUCGGGAAACCGGAGCUAAUACCGGAUAAUCCCUUUCCUCUCAUGAGGAAAGGCUGAAAGAUGGUUUACGCUAUCACUUAUAGAUGGGCCCGCGGCGCAUUAGCUAGUUGGGGAGGUAACGGCUCACCAAGGCAACGAUGCGUAGCCGACCUGGGAGGGUGAUCGGCCACACUGGGACUGAGACACGGCCCAGACUCCUACGGGAGGCAGCAGUAGGGAAUCUUCCGCAAUGGACGAAAGUCUGACGGAGCAACGCCGCGUGAGUGAUGAAGGUUUUCGGAUCGUAAAACUCUGUUGUUAGGGAAGAACAAGUACGAGAGUAACUGCUCGUACCUUGACGGUACCUAACCAGAAAGCCACGGCUAACUACGUGCCAGCAGCCGCAGUAA